AGGGAAUCUUCCGCAAUGGACGAAAGUCUGACGGAGCGACGCCGCGUGAGUGAUGAAGGUUUUCGGAUCGUAAAGCUCUGUUGCCAGGGAAGAACGUCUUCUGGAGUAACUGCCAGGAGAGUGACGGUACCUGAGAAGAAAGCCCCGGCUAACUACGUGCCAGCAGCCGCGGUAAUACGUAGGGGGCAAGCGUUGUCCGGAAUUAUUGGGCGUAAAGCGCGCGCAGGCGGCUGUUGAGUCUGGUGUUUAAUCCUGGGGCUCAACCCCGGGUCGCACUGGAAACUGGACGGCUUGAGUGCAGAAGAGGAGAGUGGAAUUCCACGUGUAGCGGUGAAAUGCGUAGAGAUGUGGAGGAACACCAGUGGCGAAGGCGACUCUCUGGGCUGUAACUGACGCUGAGGCGCGAAAGCGUGGGGAGCAAAC
rnacentral:rRNA from 1 species